rnacentral:rRNA from 1 species
AUGCGGAAGAUUGCCAAGACAAUGGACAAGACAUCAUUACCGCGAGCAAACCACCUCAAAGAGAGUGACCUAAAGAAAAUAGCUAGAGCAGACAUGAAAAGGGAUGGAAAAGCACGACCAGAUGACUAUGAAUUUGGCAAGAUAAAGACAUGGAAAGGAACAGCAGAGAGGAUCUUCUAUGCCAGCACAGCAACACCUUCGUAUUCAAUACAAAUGAUAUCAGCACAACAACAUGAGCACCAGCAGACGACCAAACUACUACCACCUCAACCAAGCGCUAGGACAAAGCACAUGUCAGCACGAGUGGAAGCAAGGAACCCGUCACAGGCACGAGCACAGGAUCAGAUGAAAUAUUCGGAAGGAUAG